rnacentral:rRNA from 1 species
AUUAGACGAAUCAUCUGGAAAGAUGAAUCAAAGAAGGUAAUAAUCCUGUAGUCGAAAAUGUUGUCUCUCUUGAGUGGAUCCUGAGUACGACGGAGCACGUGAAAUUCCGUCGGAAUCUGGGAGGACCAUCUCCUAAGGCUAAAUACUCUCUAGUGACCGAUAGUGAACCAGUACCGUGAGGGAAAGGUGAAAAGCACCCCGGAAGGGGAGUGAAAUAGAACCUGAAACCGUGUGCUUACAAGUAGUCAGAGCCCGUUAAUGGGUGAUGGCGUGCCUUUUGUAGAAUGAACCGGCGAGUUACGAUUUGAUGCAAGGUUAAGCAGUAAAUGUGGAGCCGUAGCGAAAGCGAGUCUGAAUAGGGCGUUUAGUAUUUGGUCGUAGACCCGAAACCAGGUGAUCUACCCUUGGUCAGGUUGAAGUUCAGGUAACACUGAAUGGAGGACCGAACCGACUUACGUUGAAAAGUGAGCGGAUGAACUGAGGGUAGCGGAGAAAUUCCAAUCGAACCUGGAGAUAGCUGGUUCUCUCCGAAAUAGCUUUAGGGC